rnacentral:rRNA from 1 species
UUUCGGGGUGCACCAGGCGCGAAAACUUUACAAUACCGGCAACGGCGAUAAGGGAACCUCGAGGGCCACGGUUACAAAUAUGGCUGUCGUGAGGCCUAAAAAGCAUUUCAUAACAAGGGCCGGGCAAGACCGGUUCCAACCGCCGCGGUAACACCGGCGGCUCGAGUGGUAACCGUUAUUAUUGGGUCUAAAGGGUCUGUAGCCUGCGUGGUAAGUCUCUUGGGAAAUCUGGCAAUUUAACUGUUAGGUUUUCAGGAGAUACUACUUGGCUUGAGGCCGGGAGAGGUGAGAGGUACUUCAUGGGUAGGGGGGAAAUCUUAUAAUCCUUGAAGGACCACCAGUGGCGAAGGCGUAUCACCACAACCGGCCUGGCUGCAAGGGAAAAAAACUAGGGGCACGAACCGGAUUAGAUAUCCGGGUAGUGCUAGUCCCUAAACGAUACUCGCUUGGUUUGUUCCCCGGUGCGGCCGUGCUGGGUGCCGUAGGGAAGCCGUGAAGCGAACCGCCUGGCAAGUGCGGCCGCAAGGGGGAAACUUAAAGGAACGGCG